UACGUAGGGUGCGAGCAUUGUCCGGAAUUAUUGGGCGUAAAGAGCUCGUAGGCGGCCUGUCGCGUCGGAUGUGAAAGCCCGGGGCUUAACCCCGGGUCUGCAUUCGAUACGGGCAGGCUAGAGUUCGGUAGGGGAGAUCGGAAUUCCUGGUGUAGCGGUGAAAUGCGCAGAUAUCAGGAGGAACACCGGUGGCGAAGGCGGAUCUCUGGGCCGAUACUGACGCUGAGGAGCGAAAGCGUGGGGAGCGAACAGG
rnacentral:rRNA from 1 species